AAAAAAUUUAAUUUAUAUUUAUUAAUUUAUUUUAUAAAUAAUAAUAUUAAUAAUAUUUAAUAAAAAUAAUUUAUUUAAAUUUAAAUAAUUUAUAAAUAAUUUAAUUAAUAUUUAUAAUAAUUAAAAUUAUAAAAUAAUAAAUAGUAAUUUAUAAAAAUAAUAAUAAAAUUAGUGCCAGCAAUUGCGGUUAUACUAAUGUUAUAAAUAAAUUUUAUUAUAAUUAAUAAUUAAAUAAUAAAUUUAAAUAAAUUAAUAUAAUAUAUAUUUUAUAUGGUGAAAUAUUUAAAAUAAUAUAAUAAUUAAGAAUAAUUAAAAAUAAAUUUAUUAAAUUAUUGGAAAAAUUAGGAUUAGAUACCCUAUUAUUAUAAAUAAAAUGUUAAUUAAUAAGAAAUUAAAUGUGAAUCAUUAAAUUUAAAAAAUUUGGCGGUAUUUUAAAUAAUUAGAGGAAUUUGUUAGUUAAAUGAUAGUCCACGAUCGGAAUAGUCCUAAUUAAGUUUUUAUGUAUUGUUGUAUAAAAAUUAUUUUAUAAAAAUUUUAUAAUUAAUAUAUUUAAUUUAAUUUGAAUUCAAAUCAAAAUGUAGAAUCGUUAGGAAUGUGAAUGAAUUACAAUUUAAUUUAAUAUUGAAAUUGUUUUUUAAAUUAUAAUAAUGAAAUAGGAUUUAAAAGUAAAUUUAAAUAAGUGUUUAAGUUGAAAAAUUAAUUAAAGUAUGUACAAAUUGCCCGUCAUUUUCAUGAAUAAUUAAUUGAAAGAAGUCGUAACAAAGUAAAUGUACAGGAAUGUGUAUUUAGUUGAGA
rnacentral:ncRNA from 1 species